CACGAACGCUGGCGGCAGGCUUAACACGUGCAAGUCGAGCGCCCCGCAAGGGGAGCGGCAGACGGGUGAGUAACGCGUGGGAAUCUACCCAUCUCUACGGAAUAACGCAUGGAAACGUGUGCUAAUACCGUAUACGUCCUUCGGGAGAAAGAUUUAUCGGAGAUGGAUGAGCCCGCGUUGGAUUAGCUAGUUGGUGGGGUAAAGGCCUACCAAGGCGACGAUCCAUAGCUGGUCUGAGAGGAUGAUCAGCCACAUUGGGACUGAGACACGGCCCAAACUCCUACGGGAGGCAGCAGUGGGGAAUAUUGGACAAUGGGCGCAAGCCUGAUCCAGCCAUGCCGCGUGAGUGAUGAAGGCCUUGGGUUGUAAAGCUCUUUCACCGGAGAAGAUAAUGACGGUAUCCGGAGAAGAAGCCCCGGCUAACUUCGUGCCAGCAGCCGCCGUAAUAC
rnacentral:rRNA from 1 species